UCUUAGUAUAAGCUUUUAUACAGCGAAACUGCGAAUGGCUCAUUAAAACAGUUAUAGUUUAUUUGAUGUUCGUUUUACAUGGAUAACCGUGGUAAUUCUAGGGCUAAUACAUGCUCGAGGCGCGUUUUACGCGUGGCGUUUAUUAGACUUUAACCAGCCCCUUUGGGUAAUCUUAUGUAUAAGUUUUAUACACCAAGACGACAUAUACAAGCAUAGCUGGGACUCCC
rnacentral:rRNA from 1 species